UGGCGCAAAUCCGAAGGGACUCUGGGAUC
rnacentral:piRNA from 1 species